rnacentral:rRNA from 1 species
GGUGGUGCAUGGUUGUCGUCAGCUCGUGUCGUGAGAUGUUGGUUAAGUCCCGCAACGAGCGCAACCCUCGACCUUAGUUGCCAGCAUUCAGUUGGGCACUCUAAGGUGACUGCCGGCUAAAAGUCGGAGGAAGGUGGGGAUGACGUCAAAUCAUCAUGCCCCUUAUGACCUGGGCUACACACGUGCUACAAUGGGCGGUACAAAGGGUCGCGAACCCGCGAGGGGGAGCCAAUCCCAAAAAGCCGCUCUCAGUUCGGAUUGCAGGCUGCAACUCGCCUGCAUGAAGCCGGAAUCGCUAGUAAUCGCGGAUCAGCAUGCCGCGGUGAAUACGUUCCCGGGCCUU